CUGAUUGUACAAAGCCCUCUCAUUCUAACUGGGCAGACAAAGCCUCACAUGGGUCCUUCCCUGAAGCCUUCCUGCCAGAGAGCCCAGCCGUGUGCUGCUUAUCCUUGAAGACUUUUGACCUCAUCCACGGUCUAGGGACAGCUGUGACUAAAGCCACCCAGAAGGACAGGUAGGCCAGCCAGCCCCUCCCGGCCCCCGCCACUGGUCCCUGCAGCAUUUGGGGCAAUGUUGUGCUGUUGUACAUAAGUGCAGUGCCCUCACCCCCAGGUUACUAAGGAAGACCCCCAGAAGCACUGGAAUGAGUUUCAUCAUUUUCCUAACACCUUUACUUUUCAAGCAGUCCCCCUGCUGCGGCUGUCCAGGCCCAGGAGUGCUUCCUCCUUCUUAGGUCUAGCCACAAAAGGAAAGCCAGUGUGCUUGGAGGGAUCAAAAGGUGUCCUUUGGAGGAGAACGUGAGGCUUUCCCAAAAGGUAGUUUUAGCCAUUGACAAGUAUACUUGAACAGCAGCACAGCUCAGACUAGUAAGAAACUCAGUUCUUGUGCAAGGAUAAGACAAGACAUGAGGACCUACUGUUCGACUAAAAGUCACUUCUGAAUCCAUUCAUGUAGCUGUUGAGUGCCAAAGGAGGGGCACAGAUCUAAUCACUCAAGGGGAGAAAUGACUGCCAUCUGGAGUGGUCAGGACUAGCUCCAAAUAGAAGGUUUAAUUAGAGGAAGUCUCAAUGCAGAGGAAGACAGUAGAUUGGGAGGGGGCAUCUCCAGAGAGUGAUCAGGAUGAGCAGGAGGUAGCAUAGAGAGAACCCAGCAAGCAGUGAGCAGUCUGCACUGGCUGGAGCCAAGGGUUUAGGUGCAUGAGGCCAGGUUGGGGCCAGAUUGUGUGGAGCUUUAAAUGUCAGGCUAAGGAAUUUAUCAGGGGGAUGAAAUGAUCAAACAGGUGUUCUAGGAAGAUGAAUUUGAAGAGAAUGUGCAGGAUGAAUUGGAAAAUAUGGAAGCAUGGCAACAAUUCGAAGGCUGUGAGAUUAAUUAGGCUGUUGCAGUAGUCCUGUGUGGGUUGAUAAGGGUGUAAAUGAGCAUAGUGGUGGCAGAAAUGGAAGAAGUGCAGCUGCAAGAGACAUUGUUAAGAAAGAAUGGAUGAGGUUUGUUGCCUGAUUGGAUUGGGGACCCAGGGAGCUCCAGGAAUCAAAAGAUGACACCAGAAUUUUGAGCAUCGGUAACUGGUAGUACAAUGAACAGAAAAAGGGAUGUAAGUAGAGGGAGCUGAUUUGAGCAGAUGUGAACGCAGUUCCAGACACGGAGUUCACAGAAUAUCCAAGCGGAAAUGUCUGACAGGUAGAUGGAAAUCAACACUACAGCUCAGGAGAAACAUUAUGCUUGAAGAUGAAUUCGGGAGUCAAAGGCAGAGAGGUGAUAAAUGAAGUGGAAUGAAUGAGAUCUCUAAGGAAAAGCAUAUACAGUGAAUCAGAGGACCAAAGACUGACCUUUGAGGAAUGUGUGCAUUUCAAUGUGCGCAUUUCUAUUACAAAGCUGUCUAGAAAGGGCUGGGUGUGGUGGCUCAUGCCUGUAAUCCCAGCACUUUGGGAGGCCGAGAUGGGCGGAUCAUGAGGUCAGGAGUUCAAGACCAGCCUGGCCAACGUGGUGAAACCCCAUCUCUACUAAAAAUACAAAAAUUUGCCGGGCGUGGUGGCGGGUGCCUGAAUCCCAGCUACUCGGGAGGCUGAAGCAGGAGAAUCGCUUGAAACCGGAAGGCAGAGGUUGCAGUGAGCUGAGUGUAGUGAGCUGAGAUCAUGCCACUGCACUCCAGCCUGGGCAAUAACAGUGAAACUCCAUCUCAAAAAAAAAAAAAAAAAAAAAAAAAAAAAAAAAGUGCCACCCCACAUGCUGCGUGUCUUUACUGUUAAAAUAUAAAAUAUCAGUGUCAAGUAUAUUUUAGUUUGAGAAAGAAAGCCACACAACGUAACAUUUGUAUGUCUCAGUAGAAACUAAAUUAUAAACACCUAAUAUGCCUCUAAAAGAAAUCUGGCUUAAGGAUGAUAUUUAUAGACAAAGAAAAGGAUAAAUGAUGAAGUGAAUGUAAUCUAGAAGAUUAGUGGAUCUGAUCCCACAAGAAGUCAAGCAAUCAAAGAAAAACUUGUGACAUAUAUCCUGUAAAUAACAUUUGAUCAGAGAUAUUAGUAGGCAUUUAUCCAUUUUAACACAAGGACUAAAAAAAUUGCCUUAUUUGCAGUGCACUGUCUUCCUGAGGGGUGAAUUCAAAUGAAUCUACCAAAGUAUUUUUAAUAAAAGCUAUAUUUAAGUACAAACUGGCUCAAAUAUUUGGGAAGAAAAGCUAAUAUAGGAAAGCUACCCAGAGUACAGUAAUCCACACUAGACUUAUUAAUAGUAUGCAAACAAAACAUCUUUUUAAGUGUGUAUCCCUAUGUAUAUAUUUACUGUAGACUGUAUUUUUUUGAUAGUCACUUUAAAAAUAUAAUAUUAAAGCUUUGAAUUUUUAGACUAAAAGCUAUC
rnacentral:lncRNA from 10 species